UUGACCUCGGAUCAGGUAGGGAUACCCGCUGAACUUAAGCAUAUCAAUAAGCGGAGGAAAAGAAACCAACCGGGAUUGCCUCAGUAACGGCGAGUGAAGCGGCAAGAGCUCAAAUUUGAAAGCUGGCCCCUCCGGGGUCCGCAUUGUAAUUUGCAGAGGAUGCUUCGGGUGCAGCCCCCGUCUAAGUGCCCUGGAAUGG
rnacentral:rRNA from 1 species